AACGAACGCUGGCGGCAUGCCUAACACAUGCAAGUCGAACGAGACCUUCGGGUCUAGUGGCGCACGGGUGCGUAACGCGUUGGAACCUGCCCUUAGGUUCGGAAUAACUCCCCGAAAGGGGUGCUAAUACCGGAUAAUGUCUUCGGACCAAAGAUUUAUCGCCUUUGGAUGGGCCGGCGUUGGAUUAGCUAGUUGUUAGGGUAAAAGCCUACCACGGCAAGGAUCCAUAGCUGGGCUGAGAGGAUGAGCAGCCACACUGGUACUGAGACACGGCCCAGAAUACUAGGGGAGGAAGCAGAGGGGAAUAUUGGAAAAUGGGCGAAAGGCUGAACCAGCAAUGACGGGUGAGUGAUGAAGGCCUUAGGGUUGUAAAGCUAGUUUACCCGGGAUGAUAAUGACAGUACCAGGAGAAUAAGCACCGGCUAACUCCGUG
rnacentral:rRNA from 1 species